CCGGCCCAGAAGCGAGGCGGAGAGAAGAGGACGCGGGAAGCAGCCAUGGUAGAGGAUGGAGAGUUUGGGGCUUGGUUGCCAUCAUUCUCCUCAGGCGGGGAUGUGCCUGCUGAGACUUUAGGCCGUAGGGGGUUUAGGUUCGGAAGGCGGGUUGGGGAUUCCUGCCUGGGCGUUUGGUUCAAGCCUUACUUCUGUUAACCCCCAAGGACAGCUUCAGUUUUCUUCAAGUUGGCGGGGCUUGGACCUUAACUUUGUUUUAUUUGAGAAUCUACUGCGUGUAAACCUGGUUGCCCUGCGGAGUGCAGAGCGCCGCGAGCUAGAGGGUGUGGGGAACUAGGGCUUGGAGAUGCUUGAGGUGUGGUCCUUACCCACAUCUCAUGUUGGAGGGCUUCAUGCAUGGGUCAGCUUUGAAACAUCGUGAAUGCCAGCAUAGCAGUUUGGAUUUUAUUUCCUGGACCAUGGAGAGCAACUGAAUGCUUGUGAGUAAUGGAAUACUCACAUCUCCAUAUUUUAAGGUUGAGGUGGAAAAUCUGGAUUUGAAAUCUUCAUGAAGGACUGCAUCAUUUCAAUCCUGAAUUUGAAUCAGUUCCCUUAUUGACUGUAUGAAAAAUGUUUUAAUUAGCUAUUGUAUUUGUUUUGGUAAAACCUUUAAGGUUUUACAAAAUUUUUUAAAAAUCCAUUAUACUCUUUUUGUGGUAUAUAAUAAUUUUAACAUUUUGAAAUCCAUAGGAUAGCUAUUCCAUUUUAAAAUUUAGCAGUAUUAUUUUUAUGCUAUCAGAGAAUGUACUUUGAGUUGCUAAAAUGAGGAAAGGAUUAGUAAAACACCUAUCUAAGCAAAGGCACUUAAAUUACUUUUAUCCAUCCUCUUCUAUUAAUGAUUUUUUUUUUAAAACCCAUGUUUUCACCAGCCUGCUAAUCCAAUGGCAUAAAUUUUCACAUACAGG